rnacentral:lncRNA from 1 species
AUUAAUAAAUAUGCAAGACUCUUGUGGAAAUUGUAGUUUUGUCCUUUGAGCAAAAAGAAUAAGAAUGGCUGAGCAACAAUAGCAAUUACAACAAACAGAUAAUAGCCAAAGUCAGCUACUGGUAUUAUGGGAGCUACUAUAAUCACUUAAAUCAUAUUUGCUCUCUCUCUCAUACACUCAGGACAUUGUAAGGACUAUUUUGAUUUGUGUAUCCUUGAGAUACAUAGUUUAGGUUAAAAGUCAGUACAAAAUCAACAAGUAUAGGAAAACUAAGAGUUCCUAGGAGUUAUUAGAAUAUGUUUUGCUUUCCUGAAUUCAUACUAUCACUUCCAGAUUUUGCUUGUCUCUGCUAAACUGUUUUGGCUAUUUAAAAAAGAAAGUGAAAAAGAGAUUUAUUAAUUUGUAAACUUCUUAACUUUCUUUUGUCUUAAUGAGAGACAACAGGCUAUAACAGGACAAUUUCUGUUCUGGGAUAUGACUG